GGAGGGCGCAAGCGUUGUUCGGAAUCAUUGGGCGUAAAGAGCGUGUAGGCGGUCGGGCAAGUCGGAUGUGAAAUCCCGAGGCUCAACCUCGGAAUUGCAUUCGAAACUGCUCGACUAGAGUCCCGGAGAGGGUGGCGGAAUUCCCAGUGUAGAGGUGAAAUUCGUAGAUAUUGGGAGGAACACCAGCGGCGAAGGCGGCCGCCUGGACGGUGACUGACGCUGAGACGCGAAAGCGUGGGGAGCAAACAGGGAUUAGAUACCCUGGUAGUCCACGCCGUAAACGUUGGGUGCUAGGUGUCGCGGGUAUUGACCCCCGGCGGUACCGAAGCUAACGCGUUAAGCACCCCGCAUGGGGAGUACGGUCGCAAGACUA
rnacentral:rRNA from 1 species